CACGUGGAUCCUUCCAGAAUCUUCUGCACCUGCUUGUGCCCAGGGGAACUCUUUCACCCGAACACAGGAAGAACAGCUCCAGAAAGAAAGCAUCUCUGACACAGGAGGCUAAAAGGUCGCUCGAAGAACCAAACUGAGCAGGGAUCUUCUGGUAACCAUGGCGAUGAAAACAAGUGUAAAUGAGGCCCGUGCCCCUGAAGUGUGUGCCCUCUGCUUUAUCACCAUCUCUGUUCCCAAGAAGAAAGAAUUGUCAAGGCUGGACUCCAGUCAAGGACAGAGAGAUUAACCCUGCGUCCCUGGUGAUGUGAUAUUUUCACUCUCACUCUGACUGUUGUUCAACCUGAUGUUUUAUGGCAGUUUGUGUCCAUAAUGUUGAUUUACUGCUCUUGUCCUCCUAAUGCUCCUUACAUCCUGGACAGUUCAUGGGUCCAUCACGGGGUCACAUAUAGAAACAAAGGCACAUUCACUCACAUACCCGUGGUCAGUUAACCCGGUCCUUGGAUGUCAGUGUUUGUAGUUUUAAAAAGUAAGUCAAAAUGGAGAAAACACAGCUAGAAGCUACGCUAAUUCUAAUGCCACAACUACAACCUUCGGUGGUUUUAAACACGUCACUGAUUCCUACGUGCGUCACAUUAGGAAAGGGAUGAUAGUAGUCUGCCCGUGUGCGUUAGCAGACAAAUGCGGUGAGACUUGAAAUAACCAUCAUCAUGAUGGUGGAGCUUUGGUCAUUGGCUGUGGGCAGGAAGUUCCUCGGACACUGUCAUUGGAA